rnacentral:rRNA from 1 species
UCAGGACGAACGCUGGCGGCGUGCCUAACACAUGCAAGUCGAGCGGGGACAUUGCGACGGACAUGAAGAUUUCGGUUGGAUUGAAAGAUGUAAUGUUCUAGCGGCGGACGGGUGAGUAACGCGUGAGCAACCUGUCCCUUACAGGGGGAUAACACAGCGAAAGUUGUACUAAUACCGCAUAAGACCACAGAGCGACAUCGCUUAGGGGUCAAAGGAGUAAUCCGGUAAGGGGUGGGCUCGCGUCCGAUUAGAUAGUUGGUGAGGUAACGGCCCACCAAGUCGACGAUCGGUAGCCGACCUGAGAGGGUGAUCGGCCACAUUGGGACUGAGACACGGCCCAAACUCCUACGGGAGGCAGCAGUGGGGAAUAUUGGGCAAUGGGGGAAACCCUGACCCAGCAACGCCGCGUGAGGGAAGAAGGUUUUCGGAUCGUAAACCUCUGUCCUUGGUGAAGAGAAAGAGACGGUAGCCAAGGAGGAAGCCCCGGCUAACUACGUGCCAGCAGCCGCGGUAAUACGUAGGGGGCGAGCGUUGUCCGGAAUGAUUGGGCGUAAAGGGCGCGUAGGCGGCCCGGUAAGUCUGGAGUGAAAGUCCUGCUUUUAAGGUGGGAAUUGCUUUGGAUACUGUCGGGCUUGAGUGCAGGAGAGGUAAGUGGAAUUCCCAGUGUAGCGGUGAAAUGCGUAGAGAUUGGGAGGAACACCAGUGGCGAAGGCGACUUACUGGAC